CGUGAGCUAUACAUGCAGUCGAACGCUUCUUUUUCCACCGGAGCUUGCUCCACCGGAAAAAAAAGAGUGGCGAACGGGUGAGUAACACGUGGGUAACCUGCCCAUCAGAAGGGGAUAACACUUGGAAACAGGUGCUAAUACCGUAUAACAAUCAAAACCGCAUGGUUUUGAUUUGAAAGGCGCUUUCGGGUGUCGCUGAUGGAUGGACCCGCGGUGCAUUAGCUAGUUGGUGAGGUAACGGCUCACCAAGGCCACGAUGCAUAGCCGACCUGAGAGGGUGAUCGGCCACAUUGGGACUGAGACACGGCCCAAACUCCUACGGGAGGCAGCAGUAGGGAAUCUUCGGCAAUGGACGAAAGUCUGACCGAGCAACGCCGCGUGAGUGAAGAAGGUUUUCGGAUCGUAAAACUCUGUUGUUAGAGAAGAACAAGGAUGAGAGUAACUGUUCAUCCCUUGACGGUAUCUAACCAGAAAGCCACGGCUAACUACGUGCCAGCAGCCGCGGUAAUACGUAGGUGGCAAGCGUUGUCCGGAUUUAUUGGGCGUAAAGCGAGCGCAGGCGGUUUCUUAAGUCUGAUGUGAAAGCCCCCGGCUCAACCGGGGAGGGUCAUUGGAAACUGGGAGACUUGAGUGCAGAAGAGGAGAGUGGAAUUCCAUGUGUAGCGGUGAAAUGCGUAGAUAUAUGGAGGAACACCAGUGGCGAAAGCGGCUCUCUGGUCUGUAACUGACGCUGAGCUCGAAAGCGUGGGGAGCAAACAGGAUUAGAUACCCUGGUAGUCCACGCCGUAAACGAUGAGUGCUAAGUGUUGGAAGGGUUUCCGCCCUUCAGUGCUGCAGCUAACGCAUUAAGCACUCCGCCUGGGGAGUACGACCGCAACGUUGAAACUCAAAGGGAGUUGACUGGGGCCCGCACAACGGUGGAGCAUGUGGUUUA
rnacentral:rRNA from 1 species